AUAUUUCGGAACUGAGUCUAGUUCCUUCGAUAUCAGUGUAAUCUAAUAAUCAUGAAAACACUGAUAUCGAAGGAACUAGACUCAGUUCCGAAAUAU